UACGGAGGUCCCAAGCGUUGUUCGGAAUUACUGGGCGUAAAGGGAGCGCAGGCGGAUAGUUAAGUCUAAAGUGGAAGCCCGGGGCUCAACCUCGGAACUGCUUCGGAUACUGGCUAUCUUGAGUUCGUGAGAGGAAAGCGGAAUUCAGGGUGUAGCGGUGAAAUGCUUAGAUAUCCUGAGGAACACCAAUGGCGAAGGCAGCUUUCUGGCGCGAUACUGACGCUGAGGCUCGAAAGCGUGGGGAGCGAACGGG
rnacentral:rRNA from 1 species